CACGUAGGGGGCGAGCGUUGUCCGGAUUUAUUGGGCGUAAAGAGCGCGUAGGCGGCUUGGUAAGCCGGAUGUGAAACCCCCGAGCUCAACUCGGGGCGGCCAUUCGGAACUGCCAUGGCUAGAGUCUGGUAGGGGAACACGGAAUUCCUGGUGUAGCGGUGAAAUGCUUAGAUAUCAGGAGGAACACCAGUGGCGAAGGCGGUGUUCUGGGCCAGUACUGACGCUGAGGCGCGAAAGCGUGGGGAGCGAACAGG
rnacentral:rRNA from 1 species